rnacentral:rRNA from 1 species
GUGUGGGUCUCAUUCCACGAGAUCCGUGCCGCAGCUAACGCAUUAAGUUCCCCGCCUGGGGAGUACGGCCGCAAGGCUAAAACUCAAAGGAAUUGACGGGGGCCCGCACAAGCGGCGGAGCAUGUGGAUUAAUUCGAUGCAACGCGAAGAACCUUACCAAGGCUUGACAUACACCGGAAACAUCCAGAGAUGGGUGCCCCGCAAGGUCGGUGUACAGGUGGUGCAUGGUUGUCGUCAGCUCGUGUCGUGAGAUGUUGGGUUAAGUCCCGCAACGAGCGCAACCCUCGUUCCAUGUUGCCAGCAGCACCUUUGGGUGGCUGGGGACUCAUGGGAGACUGCCGGGGUCAACUCGGAGGAAGGUGGGGAUGACGUCAAAUCAUCAUGCCCCUUAUGUCUUGGGCUUCACACAUGCUACAAUGGCCGGUACAAAGGGCUGCGAUACCGCGAGGUGGAGCGAAUCCCAAAAAACCGGUCUCAGUUCGGAUUGGGGUCUGCAACUCGACCCCAUGAAGUCGGAGUCGCUAGUAAUCGCAGAUCAGCAACGCUGCGGUGAAUACGUUCCCGGGCCUUGUACACUCCGCC